ACAAUGGCCACGACCUGACGCGCGAGCGCCAGCCCCAGCCCGGGAGUCACGCCGCUGGCGCUUGACGCACGCGGAGACCCGGGGGCCGUGCCCCAGCUUUGUGGAACCUGAGGGCGGCUCGGGUCAGGUCGGUCCCCGCGGGAGGACAGGCGCGACCCGUCCCUCAGGACCGACGGCGUGUGGCUGCGGGGGCAUGGGGUGCCCCUCUCGGCCCGGUCGCUCCAGCGAGGGGACGCUGAGCCCCAGCUUUUAAAGGCUUCAUAUUCCUGACAAAUGGAGAUCCACUGACAUGAAGAAAUUCUCAAGCAACUAGGCAACUGGGAUUGUGCAGGGGCUUGCCCCUGAUCCUAUAGUAAAAGGUCCAGCCCUCACUAGCUGAAGUGUAUUGGACAUAUUAUGUGUUUUGAAACAAAGUAGAAUACAAAUAAACAAAUAAGUCGACUUUCUGUCCAAACAAGACAGCAUGAAAAGCAGGAACUUGGUGGUGGUAUGACGUUUCAAUGAACCAAAGAGGCUCUGAUUACCGUCUGUAGACACCCACGGCACAAUUAUUAAGUUCAUUAGACAGAGAGGAAUCUGGAUUCAGCUGUGACAGGACAGCAAAUUAAAUAUACAUGGACAAAAGGAGGAGGCAUUCAAGCUUUUUAUAGUCUUCAACAACAACCAGUCCCUACAUUUAAGAAGGUUAAUAACUGAGACAGCCUUCCUGGUGGAUCCAUCAUUUGGCCCAGCUUGUAGAAAGAUUCCCAACUAGCUCUAAUUAGUUCCAUCUUAUUUGGAGGCAGAGGUAUUCCUCAUCAUACCCAUAUCCUCAUAUAAAUUGUCCAGUGCCCUAGGUACCAGGGAGAAAGAAGACGAAGAAGGACAUAUACCAGAAGCACAUUAAUAGGCUGCUGAAAAACUCUGCCACACUUUCAGAUGACAGGUCACCUACAGAUAAAUGAUUCAAGGAUCAACCAAGUUCUGAAGUUUUUUUUUGUUUUUUUUUUUUGGGAUAGAGUCUCACUGUGUCACCCAGGCUGGAGUGCAGUGGCGUGAUCUCAGCUCACUGCAACCUCUGCCUCCCGAGUUCAAGUGAUUCUCCUGCCUCAGCCUCCCAAGUAGCUGGGAUUAUAGGUGCCUGCCACCAGGCCUGGCUAAUUAUUUUUUGUAUUUUUAGUAGAAACAUAGUUUCACUAUGUUGGCCAGGCUGGUCUUGAACUCCUGACCUUGUGAUCCACCCGCCUCAGCCUCCCAAAGUGCUGGGAUACAGGUGUGAGCCACCAUGCCCGGCCAGUUCUUAAUACUGCCAGGAGUGCUUUAGAAGGCUGGGAAUAUGGGGCGAAAGAUUAGACACCCAAGCUGUUGAAAACCACACAGAGUUUCAGUAAAUAUAUGCACAAUUUGAAAAAUAUAUUUGCAAAAAUCUAGGUGUCUCCGGUCUAGUCCUUCCUAUUAAUCAAAUAAAUUACCGAGCUUCAUGGCCCAGUCUAUGAUCCUAGUUCUGACCGCUGCUGCCCGUAAAGGCCUCAAUGAAUUCCUCUCUGAGCUUCCAGACUUCCUUGGCUGGUGACUUGUUCCUCUUGGGACAGCUUUUGCUUGAGCUGAGCAGCCUGGCCCCCAGCUGUGCAGGGCCCUCUCUCCGGUGAGAGGAAACGCUUUCAGCUUAGUCUGUUAACACAAACAUUCAAAAGCAAACAUUCAAAAGCCACAGAUCAUGUUCGCAUAAAUAAAAUAGGAUUGAGAAAAGCUUUGCCCCAAGAAACCAAAGGGGUGUUUAAAAAACAGCUCUUGCUUUCCAAGUAGGCAGGCAGCAAAGCCACAGCAAUUCCAAAGGUUUGUGUGCUUGGUAGAGCUGGGUGGCUGCAGCCGCAGGCCUUUGAAGAGGAAAUGCCAUCCCUGGUACAGGCAGGCGGCCAACCCAUGAGUCCUGAAAGUACCAGAGAGAAGCAGAAAGCAGGGGAGCACAGUUAGGAAGUGAAAAGGGAGAGGAAGGCACCAAGGAGAUAAAUGAGGAGACUCUUCUUAUCUAGAGUUCCCACCCCAGACCUAAGAGCUACAGGACAGAGGAACUCACUGUGCCUGACAGAGCUGGGGCCUGAAAUAGAAAAAGAUGAUUCUAAAAUCUGAUGGAACCACCAAGGAGCUUGAGUGGCCAAAGCAAAAAGAACAAGCUGAAGGCAUCACACCACCCAACUUCAAAAUAUAUUACAAAGCUAUAGUAAUCAAAACAGCAUUGUUCUCCAUAAAAAGACACAUAGACCAAAGGAACAGAUUAGAUCCCAGAAAUAAACCCAUGCAACUAUCUUUGACAAGGCUACCAAGACAUAAUGAGGAAAAAAUAAUCUCUUCAAUAAAUGAUGCUGGGAAAACUGUAUACCCACAUGCAGAAUGAAAUUGGUCCUUGAUGUUUUAUGUGACUGAAGCAGUUUGAAAAGGAGAGUGAAUGAGAGAGUAAGCAAGCUGUAAAAUUAGGUUGGGACCAAGUCAGGGGUUACCAAAUAUCAGGCUGAGCUUUGGUACUUUAUUUGGCAAGAAAAUAAAAC
rnacentral:lncRNA from 1 species